AGCUUUGAGCGUGGCAGUAUCAUAGCCAAUUAUCCGAGGCGUGAUUAUUGCUAAUUGAAAACUUUUCCCAAUACCCUGCCAUGACAACGUGAAAUAUAAUCGGCACUGAAAUUUUUGACAGUCUCUACGGAGA
rnacentral:snRNA from 1 species